UACGUAGGGGGCAAGCGUUGUCCGGAUUUACUGGGCGUAAAGAGCGCGCAGGCGGUCGUUCAAGUCGAGUGUGAAAGCCCCCGGCUCAACUGGGGAGGGUCAUUCGAUACUGAUCGACUCGAAGGCAGGAGAGGGUAGUGGAAUUCCCGGUGUAGUGGUGAAAUGCGUAGAUAUUGGGAAGAACACCGAUGGCGAAGGCAGCCAUCUGGACCGACACUGACGCUGAGGCGCGAAAGCGUGGGGAGCAAACAGG
rnacentral:rRNA from 1 species